rnacentral:rRNA from 2 species
CUUGCACUAUUGGAGCGGCCGAUAUCGGAUUAGCUAGUUGGUGGGGUAACGGCUCACCAAGGCGACGAUCCGUAGCUGGUUUGAGAGGACGACCAGCCACACUGGGACUGAGACACGGCCCAGACUCCUACGGGAGGCAGCAGUGGGGAAUUUUGGACAAUGGGGGAAACCCUGAUCCAGCCAUCCCGCGUGUGCGAUGAAGGCCUUCGGGUUGUAAAGCACUUUUGGCAGGAAAGAAACGUCGCGGGUUAAUACCCCGCGAAACUGACGGUACCUGCAGAAUAAGCACCGGCUAACUACGUGCCAGCAGCCGCGGUAAUACGUAGGGUGCAAGCGUUAAUCGGAAUUACUGGGCGUAAAGCGUGCGCAGGCGGUUCGGAAAGAAAGAUGUGAAAUCCCAGAGCUUAACUUUGGAACUGCAUUUUUAACUACCGGGCUAGAGUGUGUCAGAGGGAGGUGGAAUUCCGCGUGUAGCAGUGAAAUGCGUAGAUAUGCGGAGGAACACCGAUGGCGAAGGCAGCCUCCUGGGAUAACACUGACGCUCAUGCACGAAAGCGUGGGG